rnacentral:rRNA from 1 species
CAGCCGCCACGGGAAUACGUAGGUGGCAAGCGUUGUCCGGAAUUAUUGGGCGUAAAGGGCCCGCAGGCGGUUUCUUAAGCCUGAUGUGAAAGCCCCCGGCUCAACCGGGGAGGGUCAUUGGAAACUGGGAAACUUGAGUGCAGAAGAGGAGAGUGGAAUUCCACGUGUAGCGGUGAAAUGCGUAGAGAUGUGGAGGAACACCAGUGGCGAAGGCGACUCUCUGGUCUGUAACUGACGCUGAGGAGCGAAAGCGUGGGGAGCGAACAGGAUUAGAUACCCCUGUAGUCCCUGUCUCUUAUAC